rnacentral:sRNA from 1 species
AAGUGAUAGUGAAGUGUUGCUCGUGGUCUGCUGAUGGUGCAAGGAUAAUGGUGGCAGCAAAAAAUAAAAUCUUCCUUUUUGACAUUCAUACCAGUGGCCUAUUGGGAGAAAUCCACACGGGCCAUCACAGCACCAUCCAGUACUGUGACUUCUCCCCACAAAACCAUUUGGCAGUGGUUGCUUUGUCCCAGUACUGUGUAGAGUUGUGGAAUAUAGACUCACGUUCAAAGGUGGCUGAUUGCAGAGGACAUUUAAGUUGGGUUCAUGGUGUGAUGUUUUCUCCUGAUGGAUCAUCAUUUUUGACAUCUUCUGAUGACCAGACAAUCAGGCUCUGGGAGACAAAGAAAGUAUGUAAGAACUCUGCUGUAAUGUUAAAGCAAGAAGUAGAUGUUGUGUUUCAAGAAAAUGAAGUGAUGGUCCUUGCAGUUGACCAUAUAAAACGUCUGCAACUCAUUAAUGGAAAAACAGGUCAGAUUGAUUAUCUGACUGAAGCUCAAGUUAGCUGCUGUUGCUUAAGUCCACAUCUUCAGUACAUUGCAUUUGGAGAUGAAAAUGGAGCCAUUGAGGUAUUCAGUGCUAGUCUUCGGAAUCUUUCUGUACAGAAUUAAAUAAAACUAAUUAUAUGUCUGGCAUUGUGCACUUCUAUUUUUAUUUUUAUUUUUGAAAUGGGGUCUUGCUGUGUCACCCACGCUGAGUGCAGUGACAGGAUCACAGCUGACUGCAGCCUUGACCUUCUGAGCUCAAGUGAUUUUCCCGCUUAAGCCUCCUGAGUAGCUAGGACCACAGGUGUGUGUCACCAUGCCUGACUAAUUUUUUUUUUUGUAGAGAUGGGGUCCUCUGUGUUGCUCAGGCUGGUCUCACACUCCUGGGUUUAAGUGAUUGUCCUG